AGACGGCUGAGUUAUGUUUUCCCGGCUGAGUUAAUGAAUACCGACUGGCUGAGUUAUAUAAUUUACGGCUGACUAAUGUGAUGUUGUUACGGCUGAGUUUAUGAUAAGUCGGCCGUAAUAGGAUGGAUUAACAGUAAACUCAGCUCGGUUACAGCUACUUAUUAGCGAAAUAUUAAUUACUAGAAAAUCAUUCGUUUGAUGGCUGAUCUAUGUGACGAUACGGCUGAUUU
rnacentral:lncRNA from 1 species